ACUCCGUACGAUCACCGAAGUUAAGCAACGUUGAGCUUGGUAAAUACCUAGAUGGGUGACCGCUUAGGAAUACGAGGUGCCGUAAG